rnacentral:rRNA from 1 species
UACGAAGGGGGCUAGCGUUGCUCGGAAUUACUGGGCGUAAAGGGCGCGUAGGCGGGUGUCUAAGUCAGAGGUUAAAUCCCAGAGCUCAACUCUGGAACUGCCUUUGAGACUGGACGCCUAGAGUUGGGAGAGGUGAGUGGAAUGCCGAGUGUAGAGGUGAAAUUCGUAGAGUAUUCGGCGGAACACCGAGUGGCGAAGGCGACUCACUGGCCCAAGUACG